UACGGGGGGGGCAAGCGUUGUUCGGAAUUACUGGGCGUAAAGGGCUCGUAGGCGGCCAACUAAGUCGGACGUGAAAUCCCCAGGCUCAACCUGGGAACUGCGUCUGAUACUGGAUGGCUUGAAUCCGGGAGAGGGAUGCAGAAUUCCAGGUGUAGCGGUGAAAUGCGUAGAUAUCAGGAGGAACACCGAUGGCGAAGGCAGGUCUCUGGGCUGAUACUGACGCUCAUGCACGAAAGCGUGGGGAGCAAACAGG
rnacentral:rRNA from 1 species